UAUGAAAGAAGCCUUUAAUUGGGGACUC
rnacentral:piRNA from 1 species